AAAUUGAAGGGUUUGAUCAUGGCUCAGAUUGAACGCUGGCGGCAGGCCUAACACAUGCAAGUCGAACGGUAACAGGAAUCAGCUUGCUGAUUCGCUGACGAGUGGCGGACGGGUGAGUAAUGUCUGGGAAACUGCCUGAUGGAGGGGGAUAACUACUGGAAACGGUAGCUAAUACCGCAUAACGUCGCAAGACCAAAGAGGGGGACCUUCGGGCCUCUUGCCAUC
rnacentral:rRNA from 1 species